rnacentral:rRNA from 1 species
UACGUAGGGUGCAAGCGUUGUUCGGAAUUACUGGGCGUAAAGGGCGCGUAGGCGGCCUGUUAAGUCGAACGUGAAAUCCCUGGGCUCAACCCAGGAACUGCGUCCGAUACUGGCAGGCUUGAAUCCGGGAGAGGGAUGUGGAAUUCCAGGUGUAGCGGUGAAAUGCGUAGAUAUCUGGAGGAACACCGGUGGCGAAGGCGGCAUCCUGGACCGGUAUUGACGCUGAGGCGCGAAAGCCAGGGGAGCAAACGGG